ACCUGAACUAUGCAUGUGCUUGGUCCAGUGACUUGUGCCCAGCCUUUGGGUUUCUUCUGAAUGCGUGAUGGGUAUCUCACACUUAUUGCUCCAACAAAGGCAACUCGCGAGCCAGCGGCUCUCGACAGAGACAGGCCAAGGGGUGAGGGCGGCGACUUGCGGCAGCCCACACCAGCGGUGACUCGAGGUAGGAGCGGUGACUCGGCGCGGCAGCGACGUAUGGCAAAAGCGGGUGAAUGAGGUAAGCGCUCCUUGGGGACGAAGGCAGCGCGCUGACGGCUUAAGGCCGGGCCGGCAGAGGAAGAGCAAGGGCGCGGGCAUGGGCGGUGAGCUGGCACGCGUGCACAGCAGCAGUAGUACUUUCAACUAGCACUCGUGGUAGGAGUAGCUGGUUUUGGUUUCAGUUUUCAUGCGAACAAUAUUAGCAGCUAUUACGCGGCAGCAGGCGACUUGGCAAUUCAAGGCACAACAGCAGCCGAGGAAGGGUUGGAGUCGAGGGCGGCUUGGAGUUCAGGCCGCGGGGGCGAGGGCAACUCGGAACAGGCCGGCCCGGUGGUGAGUCAGCGAAGCGGGGGACCGCGACAGUGGUUUGAGGCAAGGCGGCUGUGAGCGGCUCGCAGCAGAGGCAAGCAGCAGAGGCAAUUGAUGUCGCGGUGGAUCACGGGCGGCUCAUGGCUUGAGACGAGGCGAUUCAGGCAUGGCCAGGUCCGACGGCGCAGUCGAGCAGAGGCGAGCGGGCACAGCCGGCCAGCGUCGACGGGUCAAUGGAGCUGCUGCUCAGGGCGUCUCAAGGCGGAAACAGAGUCCAGGCUCGGCGUGCUACAGCAAAGGGCGGCCUGGGCGGCGGCAGCUUGAAGCUCGGGUAAGGCAGGAACAAGUCCCCGGCGGCUCAAGAAAAAAAGUAUGCGACGGCAACGAUGACUUGGCGGCACGGCAGUGCGGGGGCUCUCCCACCGCAGCUGAAAACGGGCGGCUCAAGCAGAAAUGGCGAAGCUCGGCUGAGCCGGCGGCGGGUUGAAGCACCGGUGCAGCGGGGGCCGCAACCGAGCGACCGUAGAGGCCCGUCCGGCGAUAGCGGCUUAGAGACUAAAACUGAAUCCGUAUUCACCAAGGCUUGUAAGACGUGCGGUGAUAGUUUGCCUCUGAUCGAUCUCUUCUUUCCUUGGUAUUCACUUGUUGAACUCACGUAGUAGUUUUUUCUUCCUGGUA